rnacentral:rRNA from 1 species
GAUGAACGCUGGCGGCGUGCCUAAUACAUGCAAGUCGAGCGAACAGACGAGGAGCUUGCUCCUCUGACGUUAGCGGCGGACGGGUGAGUAACACGUGGAUAACCUACCUAUAAGACUGGGAUAACUUCGGGAAACCGGAGCUAAUACCGGAUAAUAUAUUGAACCGCAUGGUUCAAUAGUGAAAGACGGUUUUGCUGUCACUUAUAGAUGGAUCCGCGCCGCAUUAGCUAGUUGGUAAGUUAACGGCUUACCAAGGCAACGAUGCGUAGCCGACCUGAGAGGGUGAUCGGCCACACUGGAACGGAGACACGGUCCAGACUCCUACGGGAGGCAGCAGUAGGGAAUCGUCCGCAAUGGGCGAAAGCCUGACGGAGCAACGCCGCGUGAGUGAUGAAGGUCUUCGGAUCGUAAAACUCUGUUAUUAGGGAAGAACAAAUGUGUAAGUAACUAUGCACGUCUUGACGGUACCUAAUCAGAAAGCCACGGCUAACUACGUG